GUCGUAUACGCAGAGAACACUUCACCAUAGAGCAUAACUGGAGGCUGGUACAAUGCAAGGAGAGGCUUAAAACAUGGCCUAUUUAGUAAGGAAAGUGUCAUUAUAUCGCUUGUUUGAUCUUCCCCCAGUCUGCACAUUGUAACAGCCAGGUCAUGUAUGGAGAGAUAGCCACCACAGAACAUGACUUUGAAGGCUCGUACAAUGCAAGGAGAGGGUUAAAACACGGCCUAUUUAGUAAGGAAAGUGUCAUUAUAUCGCUUGUUUGAUCUCUUGUAACAGUCAGGUCAUGUAUGCAUAGAUAACCACCACAGAACAUGACUUUGAAGGCUGGUACAAUGCAACGAGGGGCUUAAAACACCGCCUAUUUAUUAAGGAAAGUGUCAUUAUAUCGCUUGUUUGAUCUCUUGUAACAGUGAGGUCAUAUAUGCAUAGAUAACCACCACAAAACAUGACUUUGAAGGCUGGUACAAUGCAACGAGAGGCUUAAAACACCUCCUAUUUAUUAAGGAAAGUGUCAUUAUAUCGCUUGUUUGAUCUCUCGUAAGUCAGGUCAUGUAUGCAGAAAUAAUGUCACCAAAGAACAUGACAAAGGUGGCUUAAAACAUGGUCAAUUUGUUAAAAGAAAGUCUUAUUAUAUUGCUGCUCUACCUCCUCUUCUUCCUCCUCCUCCCUGAACCGCAGUCUGACCUAUCUAUCAACUGUUAUGUCGCUGCUAAACCUUCUCCCCUUCCCUGAACCUCACAUUCUAUCUAUAUACAAAUGCAGGCACUUCACUGCAGCCAGACAGACACACGGAGGAACGCUGAGGGGAAACUGUACUCCACUCCAUGUCUGGGCCACAAAACACUGCGGCUGGCUGGCUGGGGACGUCUGGUAAAGGGAACAAUGUGUAUCUCCCUAACAGUACUCUUGGGGUCUGUAAAUCAUUGUUCCUAUUCACUAGUCAACCCCCAUUGCCAUCAGUCACACUUGGUCAAUUAAAACACUGGAUGACUGGCUGGCUGGGGACGUCUGGUAAAGGGAUCACUUGUCUAUCUCCCCUUUACUCUUGGGCUCUGUAAAUCAUUGUUCCUCUUCACUAUUCAUUUCCCAUCCCAGCCAGUCACGCUUAGUCAAUAAAAACACUGGGAAAGGUGACUCUACACACCUCCCUAUCCUUAACUCCUGGGCUUUGAAAAUUAUAACACUGCUGAAGGGGACUCUAGACAUCUCCCUUUCCUUUACUUUUGGGCUUUGAAAAUCAUUGUUCCUCUUCACUAGACAACGCCCAUUCCAGCCAGUCCCACUUGGUCAAUAAAAACACUGGGAAAGGUUACACUACACACCUCCCUUUCCUUAACUCCUGGGCUUUGAAAAUCAUUGUUCCUCUUCACUAGACAACGCCCAUCCCAGCCAGUCCCACUUGGUCA